rnacentral:tRNA from 1 species
AGUAGCUCAGUAGGUAGAGCUUUUGGCUGUUAACCAAAAUGUCGCUGGUUCAAUCCCAGUC